CGGUGGAUGAUGUGGUUUAAUUCGAUGCAACGCGAAAACCUUACCCACCUUUAACAUGUACGGAAGCCUUUAGAGAUAGAGGCGUGCUCGAAAGAGAGCCGUAACACAGGUGCUGCAUGGCUGUCGUCAGCUCGUGUCGUGAGAUGUUGGGUUAAGUCCCGCAACGAGCGCAACCCUUGUCAUUAGUUGCUACAUUCAGUUGGGCACUCUAAUGAGACUGCCGGUGACAAGCCGGAGGAAGGUGGGGAUGACGUCAAGUCCUCAUGGCCCUUAUAGGUGGGGCUACACACGUCAUACAAUGGCUGGUACAAAGGGUUGCCAACCCGCGAGGGGGAGCUAAUCCCAUAAAGCCAGUCGUAGUCCGGAUCGUAGUCUGCAACUCGACUACGUGAAGUCGGAAUCGCUAGUAAUCGUGGAUCAGAAUGUCACGGUGAAUACGUUCCCGGGUCUU
rnacentral:rRNA from 1 species